UCUCAUUCUCAUUUUCAUUUCGUUUGCGUUCUCCAACUCGCUACGCGUCUCCUCUCUGCUCUGUCCUUUUUGGCGUUCUCGCAAGCGUAAGUGUUGCUGCGGGUUUAUGACCUUUUUUUUGUGCUGUUGUUGUCAGGCGUUCUCCUUGUCAUCGUCAUCGCACAUCUCGCACACACACACACACACACUCAUACACUCACAGAGACAGCGGCAUGUAAAACAUACAGGCUCUCAACCACCGCCGCCAAAGCGACACCUUUUUCCCCUGCGCGGAACGCGUCCGUUCCUCUGUCUGUAUCUGAUUGCCGUUGCUGCUGCUCUUGCUUUUGCUUUUCGCUGUUGGUGUUACUGUAACUGCUGCCUCUGCCGUUGCUGCUGCCUGGCAAUAUUCUCACUCUCGUUGAACGUCUCUGUUGCUUUUCGCUUCUUGUCGUUCUUUCGUGCGCCGACCGCGCUGCCGUCGCUGCUGCUUUUGCCUCUGCCUCUGCCUCUGCGUCUGCAUCGGUCUCUGUCUCUUUUCGUUCUCGGUCUCGGUAUCGGUCUCUGUUUCGGCCUCAGCUUCGUUCUCGUUCUCGGCCUCGGUCUCGGUCUCCGUCUCGGCAGCCGCCACUGACUUGUGUCAAACUGAACAGCAAAUAUUAUUUUUUGGACACUUUGCUAUCAGGUCGACGUCGCGUCAACCAGACGUCCUGCUCCAUUCGCCAUCCAGCGAUUGAUAUCGUCUCAGCAUACAACCGGGCGGUCUCCCAGACGGACACUGGCUCAAAGGAAAGAUGCACAAACUACAAACUGCAGCUGUCGGUUUUUGGUUAUCCAUUGUUCCACAUUGAUGUGUCGCAUUCGAAGUCCGACAACUGCGAAACACAGAGGCCAGAGAGAUCCGCCAUUGUCUCCGUUCAACUGGCGAGUGAUUCCAAUUGUGAAUAAUUGAAAUUGGCCGAAAGAAAGGCAAAGAAACGACAAAAUAACAAAAAUAAAUGAACAAAGCAAAACAAAAUGCCGAGCAAAGAUGAAGAAGGAACUGGCUGUAAAUCAACUGGAGCCGGUUCGUGUGCUGCCCAAAAUAACAGAAUUAAUUAUAAUAAUGACAAAGCAAGAACAACAACUGCGAACAAGGAGCCACCGCUCCAUAGCCUCUCUCCCUCCUGUCUGUCUCUCCCGACCAAUUGUGAAUACUCAUGUGAACAUGAAUGUGAAUGUGAAUGUAAAUGUGAAUAUGAAUUACAUUUUCGCGUGUGCUUUUCGGGCCUACAACAUUUGUGUGUGCUUCGUGUGCUGUGUGCUGAGCGUUGUGCUUUUCGUUUUGUGGUCUGUGGUCUGUGGCCCGCGGUCGCCGCUGGUCUCUCUUCGAUGGCCAACGCGGGACCCCGGAUGGGAACCCGGUAUCCGGGGACCAUCUUGUCCACUUUUGCCGGUUUCGCGGUUCGUUCGUUGCUCGUUGCUUCCUCUCUGCUUGGCUGGGCGUAAAUUCAAUUAAAGUGAUUUGUUGCCGCAAUUUUUGACAUUCGGGACAUAAAUAGUGGCUCUGAUUAAUGGCACAAAACUUCUCGUGUAAACAAAGUCAAAGUCUGAGUCUGAGACGUCACAACGAACGCGGGUCGAAAACACUCUUAUUGCUAUACAAAAUGCCGUCGGCUGAAACCAAUGGCAGACAACCAGAAAACCUCCAUGCGGAAUAUGUAUGUGAGCAAAUGCGUGCUGUGAAUGAGAGAGCGCCGACGCUAACAAAUGGAAUGGAAUGGCAGAAGAGAGCGCGUUGUCAUGACAACGGCAGCGGCAGCCAUCUUGGAUGUGAGAGAGAGCGGCCAUGCUGCGGCCAUGCUGCUGGCGUGCUACCGACACUCACCUGCGACGGCGGCUGUUGUGAAGUUCUGUGACGUGACUGAAAUAUCGGAACAAAGAGCCGCAGCAGCAAACAGGCCAACGUUGUUUGUGCUUGUGCGGCAAUUUUCUGCCUGCCUGCCUGCCUGUCAGCAAUGCCGCAGUAACGGCGGUCGCGGCGACAGUUGAACGAGUGCGCUUGCGUUGUGCCCGGACCGCGACCUCGACUGGCGCAGGGAUGGAAUGGAAUGGAUUGAAGCAGAGCUAGCGGCAGCAGCAGAGGCAGCGAAGCGACGUCGUCGAGUUGGAUUAUUUUGGAUUUUACAGUGACCCCCCGAAGUGAGAUCUGAAUGGUUGGCAGCUGUUGCAGAUCCUCGGAACACUUUGUGCAUGGAUACCUUUUACAAUUCUUUUUAUAAACAUUUUUUGUUCGUUUUCUAAUGUGGAUUUAGUCCAUAAAAAAUAGAAAAAAAACACUUCAGCACGUCAAAGGAUGAAUAACAAAAAUCAUUGGAAAUUGAAUUUUAAAUGCGUCUGUCUAUGUGUUGUGUGAUGCAACCUGUCGCAGUCAACGCGGAGUUUCGAGUGUCGAAGUCACUUUGCAGUCAGUUUAAUGACUUUUAUGUAUUGUUCUGCGAUUUGCCGUCAUUACCAACACCUACACAUGCACACAAAAACCGAGGCACUCACACACACACACUCAUUCACACACACUCACUCAUACACACGAUUUACGAUAGCAGACUUCUCUGCAUCUCCCGGACUUCAGGAUCCCGUUCGAGUUCCAUCUGAUGCCUCCGAAUAGUGUUUUAUUGUGAUUUUGUUCAUUUUUAUUAUUAUUUGCUCAUCUUCCCCCUCUCCUUGUUCCCACUAUGUGUGUGUGUCUCUUUCUCGCACUCACCCAGUUUCAAUUUUAUUAGUUUAUUACGGUUAUUAUCUUUUAAUGACGCUCGCGAGCGCCGCCACCGACAUUGCUCCAAUCGCAUUGUUGUUGUUGUUGUUUUGCUUUGUUGUUGUUUUAUAUCGCACUCGAGUAGUUGCUGUCUCUGUGGCUUUUGUUGUUGUUGCCCAGUUGUUCAGCAACAAUAACGUGUGAAGUUGUUUUAUUAUUUGUUUUGAUUAUCAAAAUGGCCGGUUUGCAUUUUCCGGUCGUUGGUUGCUGCCCCUUCGCCCCUCCUGAAUGGCCACCAUUCCCAUUGCCAUUCCCCUGCAGGUGCCGUAAAUCACAGCAUGCCGGCAGUGCUCUGCACCCAAAGUGCCACUCAUUCACAGCACUCACAGCACUCACUUGCUACUCGUAUACGAGUAUGAACCAUAAACGCAAACCAAAGUGUGGCAAAAUGUUUAAUUUGGAAUUUAUGAGCAAUUAAUUUUAAAUACUUGCCAAAGGCAACCCCCUCUCUAUCCCCCCCUCCCAAUCCUCCCACCCCCUCUCCGCCUCUCCACCUCUCCACUGCCAUCAGGAACGUCGUAAAAAAGGUGACUUGGCAGCGCGUUAAAUUAAUAGCUUAUCGCUACAUGAUUGAUCAAUUAUUCAAUUUCUCAACAACAGCAAAAACAACAACAAUAUGCAAUCAUUUCGCAAUUUCCUUUGAGAUAUUUAUCGUACUGUUUAUUGCAUUUGUUUAUACUUAAUUUUUAGUUAAUUAAGUUAACUCUGUGAUUUAGCAAUUAAUUCAAUACUUUCGCAUAUUUUGUAAACAUUAAAAUAACAUUAAAUUAUACAAACAUACUAUGUAUAUACUUUUAAGAUGAAAAAUUAUUUCAGCUAUUACGA